rnacentral:rRNA from 1 species
GAUGAACGCUGGCGGCGUGCCUAAUACAUGCAAGUCGAGCGAAUGGAUUAAGAGCUUGCUCUUAUGAAGUUAGCGGCGGACGGGUGAGUAACACGUGGGUAACCUGCCCAUAAGACUGGGAUAACUCCGGGAAACCGGGGCUAAUACCGGAUAACAUUUUGAACCGCAUGGUUCGGAAUUGAAAGGCGGCUUCGGCUGUCACUUAUGGAUGGACCCGCGUCGCAUUAGCUAGUUGGUGAGGUAACGGCUCACCAAGGCAACGAUGCGUAGCCGACCUGAGAGGGUGAUCGGCCACACUGGGACUGGAACACGGCCCAGACGCCUACGGGAGGCAGCAGUAGGGAAUCUUCCGCAAUGGACGAAAGUCUGACGGAGCAACGCCGCGUGAGUGAUGAAGGCUUUCGGGUCGUAAAACUCUGUUGUUAGGGAAGAACAAGUGCUAGUUGAAUAAGCUGGCACCUUGACGGUACCUAACCAGAAAGCCACGGCUAACUACGUGCCAGCAGCCGCCGUAA